rnacentral:tRNA from 1 species
GACUCGAUGGCCGAGUGGUUAAGGCGAUGGACUUGAAAUCCAUUGGGGUCU